CACGGAGGCCCAAACCCAAAUUGAUCGACACUCUUGAUUCCCCUCCGCCUCGCCUAACCCAUGCCCCGUGCCCCGAAACCCUAGCCCCCACUCCGCCUCGCCAUGCCACCGCGGCCGUCCCUCCAGUUGCUCCUCCUCAUGGCAGCCUGCACCUCCGCGGGCGCCUAGGGCUCGGGCCUCCUCCUCGCCGCGCGCCCCCGCUCCCCCCCCCCCCCCCCCCCCCCCCCCCCCCCCCCCCGCGCCGCCGCGGGGGGCAGCGCCUCCGCCUCCUCCACUCCUUCUCGUCCCGGUCCCUCGGACUAGCGACCGAGGCGACGCCACCGCGGGGGGCCAGCGCAUCCGCCUUCUCCACUCCUUGUCUCGGCAGAGGCGCCGCCGGCGCCAAACGUCCUGCAGGCGACCACCUCGCGGCCACCAGGUCCGGAGGGGGCCGGAGAAGGCGACUUCGACCACCCCAAAGAGGUGACUGCAGCCGCCGCCCUCGGCUUCAAAUAUCGUUACCAUCAGAUAAUUUGCUCUACGGCUGUUCAGAGUCCAUCGUGGUGCCAAGCGGGGCAAUGAGGCAGUACAGAUCAUCUGGUAGUCAUGGGGAUCAAGUGAAUCCGAAGCACGCCCUGACUCUCACUUUUGUGAUCCAUCUCCUUCGAUUGAUUUCCUCUAAGUGGUGAUGUCUCAGGCACUGCACGGAAGGUGUUUGACAAAAUGAGCAAGUAAGCCGCCGAAGCACCAGAACUGCUCUCUUUGAUGGCAUUGAAGAAGGUGUAAUACGAGCACCAGCUUAUUCUUCACAUGAGAUAGAUGAACAUGAGAAUGAGUCAGCAUUCUCAAGAGGGGGUGAUCCACGCUGACUAGCGCGGCCGGUGGGCGCUGUGCUCUUCAACCACUCGGAGGCGGACUUCUCCGUGAAUCCCAGUGGCCACGUCGCGUGGAUGGUUGUCCAGGUGAUUUUGACGCCGGAGGUCGCCGAGGUGGAGGACCUCGACGCCACCAUUCGGGGGAAGGGAGGAUUCGGGUCCACCGGCGUCUAAGCUCCGAGCCUUGGUAGAUACAUCUAGGGAAGUGGUCUGUUUAGGUUGGCUCCGAGCCUUUCGAUGAUGGUUGUGUGUGUCUGAUGUUAAAUGGAAUCUUGAGAAUGUUAUGCGACGUUGGUUUGGUUUGCACUGGACGUAUUGCCAUCCAUGAAUACUACAUCUAACUUUUAUUUUUUUAAUUUC